rnacentral:rRNA from 1 species
UACGUAGGGGGCGAGCGUUGUCCGGAAUCAUUGGGCGUAAAGCGCGUGUAGGCGGCUUGGUAAGUCUGGUGUGAAAUCCUGGGGCUUAACCCCGGACCUGCACUGGAUACUGCCAAGCUUGAGUCCGGGAGGGGAGAGCGGAAUUCCUAGUGUAGCGGUGAAAUGCGCAGAUAUUAGGAAGAACACCGGUGGCGAAGGCGGCUCUCUGGAACGGUACUGACGCUGAGACGCGAAAGCGUGGGGAGCGAACAGGAUUAGAUA